rnacentral:misc_RNA from 1 species
UUCCGUUGCUUGGCUAAUAGCUGUGUUACACUCAGGACCACCAAAUGUCGCAAGAGACUCAGUAACAACUCGCAAAUAAUCUGGAAGAAAUGAUGAUAAAAAACCACAAUGGCAUAUAGAAGAUGUCAUCAGAAAAAGGUAUUUAAAAUUCAUUAGAAUGACAGAUAUAUUGAACUUUCAAAGAGGUCAAAUUGUUGGUGCUUGUAUCGUAGGUGCUAGCAUAACGAAAACAACCGAAAUGUGUGGUGUAUCAAGAAGUACUGUCUCGAAAGUAAUAACAGCUUUUGAGAAAGAGGAAAAGAUCUCCUCAUUGAAACAAAACUCCGGAAGAAAACCAAAACUUUCAGAUAUGGACCGUCAGACUCUCAUGCGAAUUGUUACAAAGGAUCACAAAAGUACAGCUCCCAAGCUUAAUGACCAUCUUGAGAACCCAGUUUCCACAAAAGCUGUUCGCUGGGUGCUGCACAAAGCUAGAUUUCAUGGGUGGGCUGCAAUCAGAAAACCACUCCUUGCAAAAACAAACAUUGCAAAGUGUUUAGAGUGGAGUAAAAACCUAUAGAAUUGGUCCCUAGAGAAGUGGAAGAAUGUUAUUUUCUCGGACAAGUCAU